GUUAACAUAAUUGGAACAGCUGUUAAAGUCACAUGCGUUAUUAUCGUAUGUAAUAAAACUAUAACUUAGGAGAGAAUUUGUUUACGACUUUCAUAAAAUAACGGAUACAUUUCCUUGUUGUCGAGCAGAGAAUAGAAAAGCACAAUGAAAGUUUAUGUUUGCUUAGUUGUCUGUCUGUUGUUGGUUUUUAUGAAAGUGAACAUGGCUAGUAAAAGACUGUCGGAAGACGAUGAUGGAAUUCAAGUAGAGCCUGAAAACGGAUCUGCGAGAAGUAGGAAUGUCCGAGAAAUCCCCAAUUGGCACUUAGUGCUGCUCGGAUCCUACUUGCCAUUUGAACGUUCGCAUAUAUUCCGUCAAUCAUAACUCACAAGGGCCAGCAUACCUGAAGAGACAGACUCGAGAAAAUAUGGUUACUGGAAACAAAGGACUCAAGUUUCUGAAAAAAUAAAAUUUUAAAUUAU